rnacentral:lncRNA from 12 species
AUGCUCACCACUAUACCACCAACGCCGGCGCUUCCGGGGGCUCCGAAUUGCAUAUAUAAGGAAGAUGGAGGUCGUGGAUUUUUUUUUUUUUUUUUUUUUUUUUUCAUGAUCCUGCAGCACAUGGAGCCUUCCCUUAGCGAGGAUGGAUCCCGACCCGACUCCUCGCGGGUCAGCCAGCUACGGACGGGACCGGAGGCCGCGGGGGCGGGGGGGUGGCGCGGGUGGGGCGCCGGGCGGCCGCUGGUGGCGCCCGCGACGGCGCAGAGCUGCGGCCGGCCGGCACGUCGGGGCAGGGCUGCGGCAGGCGGCGGAGGCGGUGGCGAGAGGGCGAGGAGGCGCUGGUGCGGAGCCUGGGCCGGCGUCCGGGGGCGGCCCGGGCUGUGCAGCGUUGGUGGUAUAGUGGUGAGCAUAGCUGCCUUCCAAGCAGUUGACCCGGGUUCGAUUCCCGGCCAACGCAGCUGGCCAACGUUUUGCGCGGCUCCAGGGCCCCGGUGCUCAGGCCCGAUGGGAGCCGGGAGCCGGGCGCGACGCUGAGUGCGUGCGUGUGUGUGUGUGUGUGUGUGUGUGAGAGAGAGAGAGAGAGAGAGGAGGAGGAGGAGGCGCGCAGCGUUUUGACGGCGCGGCGGGCGGGCGGUCCGGCCAGGUGGCUCGGCGGGGCCGGCGGGCGGCUGCGCGUGGCCCGGCGGGGGCCCUGGAGGCCAAGCAGAGGCGAGUGGGCGGUAGGGAGGGAGGCGCCGGGUCCAGGGCGCACGGGCCAGGUGCGCAGCCUGACGCUCCCUGGUGGUCUAGUGGUUAGGAUUCGGCGCUCUCACCGCCGCGGCCCGGGUUCGAUUCCCGGUCAGGGAAGCCUUUCUUCUUCCUCUCGCAAGACCGCCGCCGCACACCCCUUUUAGCCGAAGCUCGCUCGUGCGUCUCCCUGGCCCCGAGCUGACCGAGGCUGCGCGUGCGCACGAGGCCACCCGCCCCGUCGAGCCCAAGGCUGGCUUGCCUGGCGGGCUCCGUCGGGCCGGCCCAAGCCUUUUGGCCUCGCUGGCUGGCUGGCCGGCAGGUGGGCCGACUGGAGGUCUCGGCGUCUCGCGGCCGCCUCCCCCGGACGCUCGCCUGGCUCCCCGUCUCGCUCCGCCCCAGGCCCGACAGUCCGGGACGCCGUCCGACCCCAGCCGAGGCCACCGACAGGCCGGGCGCCUCGGGCCUCCGUGGGUGCUUGGACUCUCCCGCAGCACCCCUGCCGCCGGGAGAAAGGUCGUGGCGGCUCGCAGCACCCCCACCCCCCGGCCCCCCGCUGGCUCCUUGGUGAGGUGCUACUUGGCGGCGGCCGCGCUGGGGGCAUGUGGGGGCGGCGGGCCGAGGCAGAGGGGGCCGGGUGUGGGGAGGGUGAGCCACCUGUCUCUCUCUGAGUCGGGGGUCACUUGCUGGAGCCCCCGGUGCCUUCUCUCGGCCGUCGGCCCGGCAACCGCCAGCGAUGGCGGCGCACGUGGGUGGUGGUCUUGGGCUUGGGCGGGGAUGGGAGCAGAGCGCCGGCCCCCGCCGCCCC